GUGGUAUUCCCUUCACAUGUACAUAACAAUUGGUUUCGUGUGAGUAAAAAGCUGUGCGUUUUGCAGUGACCCGUGCUAAAUACGACAUCGAUUUAUAUUCUGUAAUUCGUUCAACGAGACGAUUUAGAAUACGUAAAGAAAACAUAUAUGAACAAACUAUGUGCCUGAUAAAUGGAUAGAACUCCAGCAAUUCGUUGACAAAAGAUAAUCGAUUGUUGAAUUUAGAAACGAAUUCCCAUAAAUUAUUAUUAGCACUUGCUUCGAUUUCCUAUUCAAAAACUUAAAAAAUUAUUUGAAGGCUAUGAUUGCUUAAUUUCAAUGAUCGGACGAGAACUGGUGUAACAACAUG